AAACGAGCAAGAUGAUGUUGGAAGUUCUGAAAAAAGGCCCUAGGACUACUGCAGAACUGGAAGCACCUGUAGCUGAUACACCUCUAGUGCCUGAUACACCUCUUGUGCCUGCUGAUACACCUCUUGUGCCUGCUGAUACUGUACUAGAUAUAUCUGGUGGCAAGCGUGCUUUUAUUGAGGCAGAUGAAGCAAAGGAACUGCUGAGUCCACUUACAAAACC
rnacentral:lncRNA from 1 species